GUUAGGAAUAUUGGACAAUGGGCGCAAGCCUGAUCCAGCCAUGCCGCGUGAACGAUGAAGGCCUUCGGGUUGUAAAGUUCUUUAGCCGAUGAUUAUAAUGACUGUAGUCGGAAAAUAAGCCCCGGCUAACUUCGUGCCAGCAGCCGCGGUAAUACGAAGGGGGCGAGCGUUAUUCGGAAUCACUGGGCGUAAAGCGUGCGUAGGCGGUCUCGUAAGUUAGGAGUGAAAGCCCAGGGCUCAACCUUGGAAUUGCUCUUAAUACUGCAAGGCUAGAGUCUCGGAGAGGAUAGCGGAAUUUCCAGUGUAGCAGUGAAAUGCGUAGAUAUUGGAAGGAACACCAGUGGCGUAAGCGGCUAUCUGGACGAGUAUUGACGCUGAGGCACGAAAGCGUGGGGAUCAAACAGGAUUAGAUACCCCAGUAGUCC
rnacentral:rRNA from 1 species